CGGGGACCAUGGCACGGUGGCCCCAUGGAAUCCAGGAGCACCCUUAGCACAGAAAGACCCGGCUUCCUCUGGGGCUGAGGUGAGCCGCUGACAGAAGCAUCCAUUUCUGCCUGUCCCAGGUCAGGUGUGAGCCUCCAAGCAAGCCUGCUGUGCUGAUAUUAAUGCUUCUGUUUUAUAGAUGAAGAAGCUCUGGACCAGAAGGCACCCACGAACGCCUAAAUUUAGAAGCUGG